UACAGAGGUCUCAAGCGUUGUUCGGAUUCAUUGGGCGUAAAGGGUGCGUAGGUGGCGAGGUAAGUCGGAUGUGAAAUCCCGGGGCUCAACCCUGGAACUGCAUUCGAUACUGCCGUGCUUGAGGACUGGAGAGGAGACUGGAAUUUACGGUGUAGCGGUGAAAUGCGUAGAUAUCGUAAGGAAGACCAGUGGCGAAGGCGGGUCUCUGGACAGUUCCUGACGCUGAGGAGCGAAAGCGUGGGGGAGCGAACAGG
rnacentral:rRNA from 1 species